UUUUUUGCAUUUUAUCCUCAGCUAUGACUGAAAUACUCAAUAUGCCUUCUAAAUCCAUAAAACAGUAUUAUCAUUCAUAAAUGAAAUGCUCAGAGUGAUGUUUUAUAGACUAAUAAUGCCAUUGUUGAUAUUCCAUGAAAUAAGUAUUUUCUGGUAAAAGGAAUUUGAGGAGUGCUGUUUUAAACACAGAUUUAUUCAACACAAUUCUUUCUUGUGUUUAGGGACACUGGAUAUCUUCAGGAGUGUGCCAUAUGCAUGUUUUCUAUUGACUGCUGUGAUUAGGAGACAGUUCUGCUAACACCAACUUUGGUACCUCAUUAGGAUACUGUGACCUGCAGAAGUAGAGAAAUGCUAAGAAUCCUGAUCAUUGUGAUUUCUUCCAUAGGGUGCCAGAACGGAGCCCUCCUCCUUUCUGUGCUUCUGCAGCAAUUGUUGGGACACAUUUAUAUUGAUAUCUCAGUAAAUUCUAAUUCCUUGUCUUCUGUGCUGUAGUCUGGAAGCUCUCUAGGG
rnacentral:lncRNA from 1 species